AGAGUUUGAUCAUGGCUCAGGACGAACGCUGGCGGUGUGCUUAACACAUGCAAGUCAAGGAGAACUUUAUCUUCGGAUAGAUAGUAAACUGGCGAACGGGUGAGUAACGCGUAAAUAACUUGCCUCGGAGAUUGGGACAACAUUGGGAAACCAGUGCUAAUACCAAAUAAUGCAGCGGGCCCUUCGGGGCACAGUUGUUAAAGUAGGCUUCGGCUUACACUUUGAGAUAGAUUUGCGUCCGAUUAGUUAGUUGGUAGGGUAAUAGCCUACCAAGACCGAGAUCGGUAGCUGGUCUGAGAGGAUGAUCAGCCACACUGGAAUUGAGAUACGGUCCAGACUCCUACGGGAGGCAGCAGUGAGGAAUUUUGCACAAUGGGCGAAAGCCUGAUGCAGCAACACCGCGUGAUUGAUGAAGUUUUUAGGAAUGUAAAAAUCUGUCGUAAGGGAAGAAAUGUUUCGGAUGUUAAUACCAUCUGUUACUGACGGUACCUUACAAGAAAGGACCGGCUAACUUCGUGCCAGCAGCCGCGGUAAUACGAGGGGUCCUAGCGUUGUCCGGAUUUACUGGGCGUAAAGGGUACGUAGGCGUUUUAAUAAGUUAUAUGUUAAAUAUCUUAGCUUAACUAAGAAAGUGCAUAUAAAACUGUUAAAAUAGAGUUUGAGAGAGGAACGCAGAAUUCAUGG
rnacentral:rRNA from 1 species